rnacentral:lncRNA from 1 species
CACAAUCACACCACAAAAUUGCAACAUUAAACACCUUUGAGAUGAUAAAAAUAGUAAAGUUGAGGGAUGGGCCUUCAAAAAACUAAUUUCAUUGAUAAUAAUGCUUAAGAAAUCCCAAACUUGGAAUCCCGAAUGGACAACUUCAACAACGAACAAAAUCUAACUUAGUAUAAAAAAAUAACAAUCAGAAAUUGUAGCUGGGUUGCAGUUCAUGCCUCACUAGAGCUCCAAUAAGCUCAACGAGUGAUGGACAGAUUAACAACGUCUUAGAUUUUGAGCAACGAAGGCAUUUCCCAGUGAUAAAUGUGUCGAAAUAAUAUCUCUCCAUCUUUUCCUCUCCUUGCUCACACAAAUCUUCCUCAAAUCUCUCUAAUUUUCUUACUUUAAUUAAUUCUCUCUGUAUUUUAUCCCUCCUUCUCUCUAUCCUACUAUUUUAUCUACUUUAUACGUCUGCGUGUGUUACUGUGUAUGUGUAUAUGUGUAUUUUCUUCUAUGGAAAUUGAGAGUGGACGAGGUCUGUUUGCCUAUAAGUGUCGAUGGAUGGUGAGAAUUUAUGAGUGGGUUUGUAGUCAGACCAUGGUGAGGAUUUCUUUUUAGAUUAUUCUAUGUGUAUGUGGAGA